rnacentral:rRNA from 1 species
GUGCCAGCAGCCGCGGUAAUACGGAGGGUCCGAGCGUUAUCCGGAAUCAUUGGGUUUAAAGGGUCCGCAGGCGGUCAAUUAAGUCAGAGGUGAAAUCCCAUAGCUCAACUAUGGAACUGCCUUUGAUACUGGUUGACUUGAGUCAUAUGGAAGUAGAUAGAAUGUGUAGUGUAGCGGUGAAAUGCAUAGAUAUUACACAGAAUACCGAUUGCGAAGGCAGUCUACUACGUAUGUACUGACGCUGAGGGACGAAAGCGUGGGGAGCGAACAGGAUUAGAUACCCUGGUAGUCCACGCCGUAAACGAUGGAUACUAGUUGUUGGGCAUUAGCUCAGUGACUAAGCGAAAGUGAUAAGUAUCCCACCUGGGGAGUACGGUCGCAAGACUGAAACUCAAAGGAAUUGACGGGGGCCCGCACAAGCGGUGGAGCAUGUGGUUUAAUUCGAUGAUACGCGAGGAACCUUACCAGGGCUUAAAUGUAGUCUGACAGCUUUAGAGAUAGAGUUUUCUUCGGACAGAUUACAAGGUGCUGCAUGGUUGUCGUCAGCUCGUGCCGUGAGGUGUCAGGUUAAGUCCUAUAACGAGCGCAACCCCUGUCAUUAGUUGCCAGCAUGUAAAGAUGGGGACUCUAAUGAGACUGCCUACGCAAGUAGUGAGGAAGGUGGGGAUGACGUCAAAUCAUCACGGCCCUUACGUCCUGGCCACACACGUGCUACAAUGGUAUGGACAAU